CGCGCAUAACAUCAGACUGACCUUCCUGCCAAUCUUUUCCACCAUCCAGCCACCAAACAGCCCGCCCAACGCUGCUCCCACCGUCACUAUGGACUGAAACAGACAACAGAUCAUCAGCAAUAAACGCCGAUGAUGUGUUGGAAGAAAUGAGAUGUCACACAAAUCUGCUGUUAAAAUUGCCUGGUGCAAUAUGAAAUGAACAUGGCUGCCAUCAUACCCCAAACCAGGAAGCCUGGUUAUCGUCCAGUCUCAGCCGAGAGUCCUCAAUCUUGGUGAGUUCGGGGAUGGCAGGAGAGCUGUAUCCCAGCACGAACCCAAAGCUCAUGGGACCCAGAACAGAGGCAAGUGUCGCAAGGUACAACUUUCGAUUCUUCACUUUGCU